rnacentral:lncRNA from 1 species
CGGGAACAGCACGGGAUCCAGGUGAUGAAGCCUGAGGAUGCAGCCGACGGCGGCGGUGGCGACAGCCAACGAGGGGAUGAGUGGGGCGGCGUGGGACCCCGGGCGGAGGUCUCCGGGAAGCCGCCGCCGCGCUCUCCUCUUCUCGCGCGGAAUCCCGGGCGGAGGAACUCGGGGCAGUGGUUCCCGGGCGGAGGAACUCGAGGGCGGGGGCGCUGGAUCGCGGGCGGAGGAGCUCGUGGGCAGCAAGGGGAUCUCGGGCGGAGGUCAGCUCGGCGAGGAGCUGCGGGCGGAGUGCGAGGAGCUGCGGGCGCGGGGUCGGGAGGCGGUCGGACGGAGCGGCGUCCUGUCGAGUGUCGAGAAGACAGGCGAGCCGCCGAGCGCCGAUGCGAAUCCAGCGGGGCCCACACGUUGAUCCAUGUUGACCGCUUGGAUGACGUAAUCAAGGCUUUAAUCGCUAGGUCAGCUCGACUCGAGAUUGCAGAUUUGCAACUCGGCUCCACUCCUGUUCUGGCCUUCUGGGCAAUUUGAGACCUUUCUAAAAAUCGAAAACAAAACGUUUUAGAAUAAGUCCUCUCAGGUAGCUCCUUAAUUUAAUUUAAUUUACUCGCUCCAUUCUCUUUAGAUCGGCCUAUUUCACCUUGGCACAAUCUAUUUAUCGUCUCCGUCUGUGUAAUUAGUUUUAUAGUUAGCUCAUAUUUAGUCCUCCUAAUUAGCAUCCGAAUAUUCAAUGUGACAAGGACUAAACUUGAGCUGAAGUAUCCAGACACCCUCGAAGUCUCCAUUCUUUUUUGAUAGGCCUAUUUCACCUCGACACAAUAACCAAAGAGAAUGAACUCUACUUAUCGUCUAAUGAAUCAUGUCAUUAUGUACUCCUCGUUAUCAUAUACAUGCACCUCAGUAUCGAUGUCAUCAUAUACAUACAUCAAUUAUUUUUCUAGAAGAGUUACUCUACACGGAAUCUAAUAGUCAUCUGUGUCAAACACGAGGUGGCAAUCAAAUAGGACUAUUAAAAGAGAAAAAUUUAGUUUUGUAAAUAGCCCUACCAAAGAAGAAUGGAUGGAGUAAUUCACUAUUUCAAUUCAGUUCACCAACAAAUCAAGCUAAGAUAAUAGCAUGUACUACAACUACGUCCCAAAUCAUAGAUCAUUUUGAUUUUUCUGGAUAUAGUUUUUGCUAUACACCUAGAUAUAGUGUAUGCCUGAAUGCACGUAAAAAAUGAUGAUGUAGAAGUAAUUAGGCAAAUUAGGCAUGGAGCAUGUAUAACCAGGGACGGAGCUAGGAUAUACGAUAGUGAUUAUAUGUAGAUGAUAGCGUGUGCAUAAAAGAAAUUAAGCUAGUUAUCUAGUGAUUAGUUUUGAAUUAAAUAUGCGAAGAUAAAUAAAAUAGCAUGUAUUUGCCAACACAAAAUAAUUGAAGAUUAAGGGAGUGUUUGGCAGCACUCCACUUCAUAAAAAACAACUCCACUCUACUAAUUUCAUCUUUUUGCAGCUCCACUCCACCAACUGCAAGAAACAUGAAGUUAUUGUACGUGUUUGGCUAAUUGCAGUGUUUCAGCUCCAGAAACAUGAUAUUAUAUUGUGAAUAGUCUCUUUUACCCUUUGUGAAUGGGCCCUCAUGUCAGUUUCUUUUCUUUUCUCUCCCCCUUCUCUUCCUCUCUCUCCCUUCUCUUUUCUCCCCGUCCCUUCCUCUGUUCGCGCUAGCCUUGCUGAUGAUGGCGCACGCGGACACGGGUGCGAGCGGCGCUGCCCGUAGUGGCUGGAUUGGGGGAGAAAUAAACAGCAGCACAGCACGCCGGGCACCCCCCCUCAAACAACGCCAGCUGCCGCUCCUGUUGCAUGCCUCUGCUUCUUCCACUCGAGCUCCGCUCGCUGAUAAUCCCCUGUACCUGAAGCACUUCGUAUCCAUUUCUCCCAACCGCAGACCCACAAUCAACGCUCGUUCCCCUAGAUCUUGCCGCGACAGCCGCCCACGAGUCGUAUCUACUCCGAUUUCGAGUCGCCGAUCCACCCACGGCCGCAAGUCGUAUCUCUUCCAAUUCCGAGUCGCCGUUCCACCCGCGGCCGCGAGUCGAAUCUCUUCCGAUUCCGAGUCGCCAUUCCACACAAAGUCGCAAACUUGUCGGGCCUAGUUCGAACAAUUUUCGAUGUCGAUCCCGACGGCUCUAUUUAAGCGAUGUCGCGGUCACGAGACAUCUGCCCGCUACUCGGUUUGUCGUGCAGGUGGAGGUAGCUCUCUCAUGGCGAGGAGCAGUGCUAGGACCGGGAGCGGGAGCGCGGCGAGUCGAUUCCUGCUCCAUUGCCGGCAGCUGGCGGCCGGUAGCUCUCCCAUAGCGAGUGGCAGGAGCAGGGCGGGUCAAUUUUUGUUGCGGUGCAGGCUACUGUCGGCUAGCCUUGAAGACCGAAUAAGCGCCCAGCGGGUCGAUUUCUGCUGCGGCGCGUUCUGGCGGUGGGGGCGAGCCGGCCGCAACAGGCGACGACGGUCGGGGAUGGCGCGGUCCAGCGGUUGGCAGCGACGUGGUUCGGUGGGAGGAAACGACGACGGGGAGGGGAUAGAAAAAUUAGAAAUGAAGCGCGUAACCUCGGUGGUAAUGGUGGUUAAAUAACACCAACUCCACGAGGAGGUCUAAAACUGAUGUUUUUGGAGCAACCCCUGAUGUACUUCAGAAAAAAUAUGGAUCUGACCCUAGCUCCACGUUUUUUCUGGAGCUGAAGUUUGUGGAGCUGGACGUGUUUGGCAGGCAAUUUCGUGGAGUUGGUGAAGUGGAGCUAUUUUUUCUGAAGUGAAGUGCUGCCAAACACUCCUUAAGAUAAUGGAGCGUGCAGUUCACAAUUUCGUGGUGCUGCAUCGUGGUCUUUGUGGAUAGCCGCACCAGCGGGCAGCGGGAGUCUGGAGAGCGGAUCACCUUUUUUUUAGACGAACCCAAGCAGCAACUAGAGGUGGAAAAGGAAAGAAAACAGAAGCGUCAAGCGUCAGUAGAGGCGUGAUUGGUUGCAAAGGAGUGGCCAUACAGGAUGGAUGGGCUGUACCGGAUGGUGGGAGGCAGGAUAGAGCGAUGCAGGGAGGUUUAUUUGGUUGCACUUUACUGUCGUCCUGAAUCACGCGAGCUAUUGUUUGGUUGCACUGGACGGAUCGUUAUCGUGUAUGACAAGAAACAUCAGAUCGUGUUUGGUAGGUUGAAUCGGAGGAGAUCGGAGCACCCUAGUACUAUUUUGGUGAGGUUACCACCAAUGUUCAUGAACAUGAGCUGUUUUGAUGUUACAAAGGCUGAUCCUGAUGAACUACUUCCAAAGGCAAUUAAUUACUACUACCAGUAUAGUAAUAACAAUAAAUUGUAGCAUAACUGUGAUAUGGAGCCAACUAAGUUUAUUUGCCGUCUUUUUUGAACCGAUAGUAGCUUCUUUGACAUCUUCAUCACCAGUGUACUCUAGGAAAGAUGCAAUUGUCUCUUCUUUGAAAUUAAAACUCUUGUAGCAACAAUUAGGAUAACCGGUGACUUGUUGAUGACAGGUUACCCAAUUUGCAAACACCCCAGGCUUCCUACCUCGGUACACAACAUAUCAAGCCAUUGUGCCUUAUAAAGAAAAUAAAACUUGAUUCAAUUGCAAAGGUAGAUGUAUGAUAAAAGAAAAUGUGAUAUAGUAAGUGUUGGCCUCAGAUUUUAUUUUCAUCUUCCCUUGAGCUUGAGCUUGGAGCAUCAGUUACACAAGAGCAAUAGCAGACCACAAAUAGUAUGACAUCGGCAACAGAAACAGCAGGACAAUGCCAACAGAAAAAAGCAGUAACAGCACAUCGACAACAGAUCAGCAACAAGACUGCUAGAAAUAAGUAACAAGCAGUACCAGUGGACAACAACAACAAUGUGACCUGCUGAUGACAGGUUACCCAAUUUGCAUACACCCCAGGCUUCCUACCUUGGUACACAACAUACCAAGCUAUUGUGCCUUAUAAAGAAAAUAAAACUUGAUUCAAUUGCAAAGGUAGAUGUACGAUAAAAGCAAAUGUGUUAUAGUAAGUGUUGGCCUCAGAUUUUAUUUUCAUCUUUCCUUGACCUUGAGCUUGGAGCAUCAGUGACACAAGAGCAAUAGCAUACCAGAAACAGUAGCACAUUGGCAACAGAAAUAACAGAACAGUGCCAACAGAAAAAGUUGUAACAGCACACCGACAACAGAUCAGCAACAAGACAGCCAGAAAUAAGUAACAAGCAGUACCAAUUGACAACAACAACAACAAUGUCAUAGUCCCUCACAAGCUCAAGAUCAUCUGAUGGUACCCAUCUAUAUUUAAUUGGGCAAAUAUUUUAAUCAUCAUAGGUAUAGUUUCUUACCUUGAAUAACAUAUGUUACCAUCAAAUCAGAAGAAAGCAGCCAACAUAUAUGAAAGAUCAAAGAAAGAUGAAAUCACCAGGUAGUAGACAAGCAGUACCAGUGGACAACAACAAUGUCAUAGUCCCUCACAAGCUCAAGGUCAUCUGAUGGUACCCAUCUACAUUUAAUUGGGCAAAUAUUCCAAUCAUCAUAGGCAUAGUUUUUUACCUUGAAUAACAUAUGUUACCAUCAAGUCAGAAGAAAGUAGCCAACAUAUAUGAAAGAUCAAAGAAAGAUGGAAUCACCAGGUAGUAGACAAGCAGUACCAGUGGACAACAACAACAUGUCAUAGUACCUCACAAGCUCAAGGUCAUCUGAUGGUACCCAUCUACAUUUAAUUGGGCAAAUAUUCCAAUCAUCAUAGGCAUAGUUUCUUACCUUGAAUAACAUAUGUUACCAUCAAGUCAGAACAAAGCAGCCAACAUAUAUGAAAGAUCAAAGAAAGAUGGAAUCACCAGGUAGUAGACAGUUCAAAAUAACCAACAUAUAUGCAAGAUCAAAGAAAGAUGGAAUCACCAGGUAGUAAACCAAUAGGAAAGGUCAAAUAACCAGAAUAAAGACAUGGCAUCCAUCACAACCAUAAGGUGCAGGUGUUCAAGUUUACACACCUAACAGAUCCCUCCCAAUCACCUCUACAAAGUGGAACCAUGUGUCCUAUGCUAUACAAAAAUAUAUGCAGCCUUGGAUAGGCUUCAAAUGAUAUCUCUACCCUCACCAUUAGUGGUUAGUGCUAACCCAAAAUGUCCAACUAUAGCAUAGGCAAGCAAAAUAUCAGAUGGCAGUCCUUAAGCACCUAGAGGAAGUUGGCUUGGCUCAGUUAGGUCCUAAGCCAAAGGAUCCUAUGGGCUUCACUCAUCUGAACAAAGCAUAGGUCUUCUGCUUUGUUCUUAAGCAGAUACACAAGUGCAAACAUCAAGACCUCCUGUGAGUACCCAGGACAGGACAUGACACAACCAUAAAGAUCCUCAUGGACCUCAUUGUGCUGAGGAGCCUUGAGAGCAUUUGCAACAGAGGCAACAACAACAGUCGUACCAUGCAUCAACUGGUAUUCUUCCACAUACAACUUUCUCCUUUUACUACCUCUUCCUUCCUUAUCAUCAGAACCCUUUGAGUUGUCCAGCCCAUUGAAGGCUUCAUUUUGCUUACCAGAAUCACCCUCAUUCCCACCUAAAUCAAUUGUCUCUGAUCUAACAUCUCCCCGGCGGCCAAGGUCAGUUGGUACACCUAAAGGUUCAUUGGAACCCAUAGCAAACCUACCAGUAGCCUGGCUAGACCCAAAAAUAGCAUCUAUCUAGACAUAGUUCUCAAUUGGGGUGUUCAAGAACUUGGCAUCAGUAGGAUGAUCCUAGUUGGGCAAAGAGAUGGUGCAAUAGUUAUAGAAAAGGGCAAUUAUUAACCAUAACAGUUUGAUAUAUGGUUGUAGCCUAACCUUAGUGUGGCCUAUCAGAUGCUCCUCCUCAAGAACUAUCAUGUGAUGCUCCUCAUUCCAGAGAGCACCACUGAAAUCCUUGAGCCAAGCAACCUUAACCCACCUUUGGCGCCAUUUGCGCAGGUGGUUGCAAAUUUAGUUGGUGGUGACAUUGACUUCAGCAAAAUCAGAAACCAUCCUAGCAACUUGCCAAACAUGAACUUCCUUGAAGCCUUUGCCAGUUUUGACCCCUUGCACAACCAGAUCAUGAAACCUCCUAAGCAUGAAGGCUGACUGAACACUGGUCCAUUGCAUUGGCCCCCCAGGUCGGGCUCCAUUGGGUGGAGGGGCUGCUGGGUUCCCUUCCUCCACAGCAGCCAUCCCACCCUCAGCCCCUGCCUCAUUGGCAACACCAACAACUUCCUCACCCAUCAUAGCCAUGUCCUAACCACAAUACCAUCAGAAAAAGAAACACCAAAGUACUUAGAAAUCAAAUAGCAAAGUAAAUACUGCAUGCAAACAUCACAUGAAGAUAUUGUUCAUGAUUGCAGGUACACAUCAUAGCAAAGUACCAUAGGUCUUAGAACAUAUUACAAAUUCAUCAAUGCUGCUAAACAAUACAUGAACCCUAAGUACUUCAGUGGAAUUAAACUCUAGAAGAUCCCCUAUUCUGCCACAUUUGUGCAGCCCAUGCAUCCCUCUAUUGUGCCCAAGUUCCAUUGUCAAGACUAUGUUCUGACUCAGGGGAAGUAUUAGUGGAGUUAGGAGUCCAAGCAGCUUCAGUGGGGACAUAUUCAUCGUGUCCAUGCCUAAGUAUCCAAUUGUGCAGAAUACAACAGGCAAGAACCAACUUCACUUGGGUUUUGUAAGGAUGGAAAGGCUUGUUGUCAAGGAUUCUGAACCUAUUCUUUAGAGCACCAAAGGCCCUCUCUACUAUCACUCUAAGAGAAGAAUGCCUCAGGUUAAACAACUCUCUUUGGUUUUGUGGUCUAUUAGAAUCAAACUUCCUCAAGUGGUACCUUGUACCACGAUAUGGCGGCAGGAACCCAGGCCUGGCUGCAUAUCCAGCAUCCACAAGAUAGAAUUUCCCUAGACAAUGUGAGAAAUGGAGAUGGUUUAUCAGUUUAGUGGGUGCAAUUUGUUGGCAUGUGUAUAUGUGAGGUAUGGUACCUUGUGAGACUGUAAGGCCAUCAGCCCUUUCAAGAGCAUCUUACAAAAUUAGAGCAUCAUGUGCAGAUCCCUCCCAACCAGCAAGCACAUAUAUGAACCUGAGAUCAAAGUCCACUGCUGCUAGUACAUUCUGAGUGAUGGUGUGCUUCCUGCCUCUAAAGGCAACUUGCAUCUUCAAAGGAACUCUAGCUAAGACAUGUGUCCCAUCAAUUGCUCCUAUGCAGUCCUAAAAACAAAUAGCCAUAUUAACAGGUUACUACCAUAUGGGUAAGGUCAGUUGGUUUACAAUUAGGAAAGGGCCACAAACCUUGAAAUAUGGGUUCCAUCUCCUGCUGCCAAGGAUCCUAGGAUGGACACUAGUGGAUGGUGGAACAAUCAACUCAUUUCUCAACUCACCAACUACAUACAAGACUUGAUGAAAGAACCUACUUAUAGUUUCAGGUGACCUCCUAAAUGUCAUGUUAAUGACCCUGGACCUCUAGUUAUGUCCAACUACAUGCAAGAACAUUACAACUUGUUCUUCAACAAUGGCAUGGAUGCUUUUCAUAACCAACCGAAACAAGUCACACAACUGGAAGAAAGGUACCCUCCUCAUCCUUAGUAGCUUGACACAAUGGACAUCAUCAGAUUCAUUAGGUUGCUAUUCCUCUCUUUGUCCUUCUCUGCCAUGGGUCCAUAGGUAAUAGAUCGAGCAUCCUCAGCUCUCCUUCUAAACCACAUGAAAAACCAUGCAGCAAUAGCAGCAACAAGAACAGCCACGGCCCAGCGCCUACCUUGCAAGUCCAUGUCUAAGAAUACAAUGCAGUGUUCAUUAGAGCUCAGUAGAAGAACUUGGGGUCAUGUUGUUAAGCAAGCAAACAUUCAGAAGUACAUGUUAUGCUAGACGUGGCUGCCACACCCGAAGGUGCUCCUCCGGUGGCAAGGAUUCAUCAUCGACUUAGGCACUUUGCUUAGCUCAAUACUACGGGCAUGAUUGGUUGCAAAGGAGUAAGCCAUGGUUCAAGGACACAAGAAAUCAGAUCGACAAGUAUAUGUGACAACCAUAGAUCCGCAUCAGAAACAAUAUAGGGUUCAUAAAAACUAUAAAUGCAGAUGCAGAACAACCAUAGAUCCGCAUUAGAAAUAACCUAGGGUUCAUCGACACCAAGCAAGAUGUACCGUCGCAGCACCGGCGGAGGCACAGGGUGCCGCCGGAGGACCUUGACCCACCGGGACGAUGGUACAAGAACAAAAAAAAAAUCAAAUCAACCUUUAUAUGUGACAACCAUAGAUCCGCAUCACAAACUACCUAGGGUUCAUCACAACCAUAAAUCCAGAUACAGAACAACAAAAGGAGAGGACGGAUCUAAGAGAAGAAGAACCUAGGGUUCAUCGACACCAAGCAAAAUAAGACGAAUCAACAUAUCAGCGUGGGAGAGGGGACGAAGCAGCGUAAGAGGAGGGGGAGAUGUACCGUCACAGCACCGGCGGGGGCACAGGGCGCCACUGGAGUACCUCGAUCCACCGGUGAACUGAGGUCGAACAGGAGGAGGGAGAGGAGAAGGCGCACUAGGGAGGAGGGGAGCGGAGACAGUGGUGGGAGGAUGGGAGGUCACCGUAAGCCUCCCGCGCCUUUAGCCCUGGGACGGCGCCAUCUCCCGCGCUCCAUCGAAAAAUUCCCGCUAGCAUCGCUCCAUCCCGGCUCGCGAGCGAAGGAGCCCUCUGGGAGGACGGGCCGAUGCGGGAUAGAAUGGGAGAAAGGAAAGGGGGGUGCGGCGUUUCGAUUCGGGAAGGCUAAUCGAACACGCGAGAGUGCACGGGAAGGUUCGGGACGGUACAGCGGACGGUGCCCUCCCGGCUACCAAUCACGCCCUAGAAGAAUGAUGUGCGUAUCCUUAAAUUUGGGAUAGUCUAAUUUUUAUCUUGGCUAAGAAAUGCAGCAGCAUGUUCAUGAAGGUGGUCAGCCAUGCUUACUUAUUAUAGAACAUGUGAUUAGCAGGAACAUUGAGAGCUUCUUCUGUGGAAAAGCUGCAGCAUUUGGGGGGAGGGAGGGGAGGCAAAAUACACGGGUAAAUACACUUUUUAGAAAUCAUUUUUUAUGUUGGGUUCAAAACUAUAUUGCUAUGUGUAUGUAUUAAGGGAAACCAUAUUUUAUGUUGGGUUAAAAAAUAUAUUGGUAUGUGUAUGUAUUAAGGAAACCAUAUUUUAUGUUGGGUUAAAAAAUAUAUUGCUAUGUGUAUGUAUUACCGGAGUACGAGCACAUAAAUAUUUAAUUAAGAUUAGCCUAGGGUAAAAUGAACUUUUUGCAUUAGACUCAUGCUAAAAUAGAGCACCACAUCAACAUAAGGUAUUGCAAACCGGCAAAUCAACCGCUUAUACACAAUAUUAAGCCCCUGCCAUCCAACCAUGACAAGGUGUUUUGUUCUCGUUAAAUACAACAAUCAGAGAUGUACUGCGUUACAAAUUAAUUUACUCCCACCAAGGAAAAUAAAAUAAUUACAGCAACGGACUGCAGGAUGGUCUGAAGCACCCGAAAGUUUGCGUCCUGACUGGACACCAUCCUCUAGCCUUCAUCUAACAAGAUUCAUCAGUCCCUUAGUUGUGACGAAGGAGGUCUCUAUGGCACCACAAAUACCAAAUAGGAGCCAAGACGGAACACUAGAAGAUGCAAUGAUCAAGUUUCAGCAAUUACUCAAAUGGAACAUCCUGUUGCGACCUCAAAGAAUUAAACAUAACAAUACUAGCAAAGAUAAAGUAUUUUAAACAUGGAUGCAGUAGAAGAUUUGAACUUCAUUUCUUUGUCAUUAAGAUAAGUUUUCCCCCUCGUAUCCCACGCCCAAAAAGGAAAUGAGGUUCAAAACCAGAGUUCCAAAACGAAAUUUUCGAAAGCCAUGACACAUGAGCUUCUGAGAGUGAUCUUACAAGUUAUAUAUAUUCAUUCAGGAUUGGAUGAUGUACAGAUCUUGCUUUGAUAUGUAAUAGCAUGACAUUAAAUUCCCUGGUUGCAUGAUAAACUGCUCUCUGAACUGGCCUACACGUUUGCUUGGAAUGUCAAUAGAGAGCUCAUCCAAGCUGGGCAUCCCUUCAGCUUUUACCCCGUCACCACAUACAAGAACCUGGUUUCCUACAAUAAAUGAUCCGGAUACACGAAUUGCAACUCCACUGUCACCGUUUGCACGGCAAUGUAGCUUCUCCACGACAUGGACAAUUUUCUCUCGAGGCCUGUCACCCUUUAGCUUCUUCCUUAUAUUUGACAAACUAUCAAAAAUGUCAUUUUGGCCAACAUACACCUUCCCUGAGAAACUGCCAAAACAGGAUAGGUAAGACAGCAUAUCAUGCCUGUGUGCUCAGAGACAGAUUUCAGCACAACUAUAACAGCAACUAUUGUGUAAAGAAUAGUACUACAAAAGAAGCAAAAUCACCAGAACAAUGAAGUUGGAAAAAAUAGUAGUAACCAUCCAGUUAUCACAUGACAUAAAAGCACAGGUCAAGUAAAGUGCAACUGGGGAUGUAACUGGUCCAUCAAUAUUUCCAGCAGCACAUACAAUUCCAUUCAUUUUCAAAUUAUCCAUUCAACAAAGGAAAUUAAAGCAUUAUCCAUAAACCACAAGAACAAUUAUAGCUAGUUCAUUCCCCAAACAAACUGGGCCAAAGGUUGUCCAAUGUCCACAUCAGUUGCACAUGAGUUGAUUCUGAAUCCCGAGACAUGGGCUAAAAUUCUAGCCAAUAGGAAACUUUAUCACCAGCUAAGUAGUUUCAGGAUACAAAUCUAGUUUUAAAAGGCAGCGAAGUUGGACAGUAUUUAAUCAUGACGUUUACAAUUGUAACAUUGCCUUAAGGUACCUGAAAGUAGAUUGUUCCAUGUAGAAUGUCUUCAUAUGAUGCCAAAUCCCAUCAGAUCCAUUAAACAGGAGGUAGUAAUGUAUAGCAAGCAUCUGAAAUAAAGUAAAGAACAAUGUAUGUUAUACAUAGUAGACAUUUUGCAUAAAUACUAAUCUUUCCAUAAAAGAGUCAGCAUUUUUUUUCAACACUUGGGACGUCAGUGUCUAUAUUUCUUCCCGGUAGAGAGAUUAGGAGAAUACAAGAGAUGAGCGGAUCACAUAAAAUUCGAUCAUUCCAUAACCCAUUCUUUCCUGGGCUGAAAAGAACAUGGAUAUGUGACUUGUGGAGCUGCAGGCUGGGUUUCUGGACCUCACGAGUUAAAAAAUUGGGUUAAACAUGCUCGUUGCUGGCCCAUAUAGAGACAGACUUAGGUACACAUAUAUGUAUACAUGGGCUGGGGCCCUGAAAUUUGCGGGCCUGUGGCGGUGGCCCUGAGCAAGGGCUUCCGCUACGCCUAGUCCAUGCCCCUGGCAGUGCUACAGCACCAUCACGGGUCGCAGCCAAAGGUAAUGGAAGUGGAAGGACAGAAAGUGUGACAUGGAAAUGGAGUAUGGUACCAUGGCCUGGACAAAGAGUAAGGGCACAACAAGAAAUGAUGAAAGCAAGUGCCACAUGUAAUAGGAUGAUGAUUAGGCAGUUUUGGACUUCAAGUGAACCUGGUACGGUUGGCAAGACACCAAGACCUAUUCCUGCAAAAGGGAGAAAUCUAAGGAUUGCUGGCUGGCAAUUUGACCAAUGAGAUCAGAGGGGCCCACUUGUGAAAGGUUAAGGAAGUUUUAUUUAAAUUGUAACUAGAUUGGAUUUUAUUUAUAAAGAACCAAUCUAUUUGUUGUAGUAGGGGUCAACUCCUCUAUAUAUAGAAGAGGGCUGUCAUCUAAUAAAAUUAAGCAGAGUCUCUGUCUCCCUCUCCCUGACACGGCUAGGGUUUGGUCUUAGCCUACCCCACCAGGCUAGGGCUUGGCCUUAGUCGACCCCCUCCACCACCGCAACUCUCUCUCCCUUCCCAACCUUCUGCUUCUGCUGAUCUGCACCAUAACAGAACCAGUUAACAAGUUUUAGGGAUCCAAAUUUGCAUUUUCCAUAAUUAGGGACCUAGAUACACCAUGGAACAAGUUGGAGCAUCAGGUGUAUUUUGCUCUCAGUGAAGUUACUUGCCCCCCCCCCCCCCCCCCCCAAAAAAAAAAAAAAUUGCCACAAAGAUGAAAAUGCCUCCCACAUAUGAGUUUUCAGCCUGGGUGCGUCAAGCGUCAAACCAAAUUUACAGAUCCCUGUUAAUGUCCACAUCACAUCUUUAUUCCUGAUUUUUCAGCUUACGCGGGAAACAAAAUUUAAACAUAUCCCUGUCAAUGUCUACAUCACAUGUUAUAUACAUCAUGCCAAAUUAGCUAGGGGAUUAAUUUCAGCCAAAUGUGUUACUUGAGAGAUCAGAUUGAUCCUUUGGAAGAAAAAAGGAAUGCGAGCCAAUGAGCUAAAUCAAGGGACAAAAAUUGUAACGGAACCAAUUAAACAACAGUAGGAAAGAAUAAAGUUGAAAUAUGUCACAAGGACUCACCUCAGCUAUUUGCUUUAAUCUUUCUGUUGGAUCAACAACACUUUUGACAUAUGCUGCCAAGUCCACAUCGGUUUUCAGGUACCUCUUGAUGAAUGGGUGUGACAAAAGCUGCAAAAUGUAUUGAAUGUAAUCAAUGCAAUAAUGGGAUAAAACAUACUAUACUUGAGUUUACUGACAUGCUGAAAUUAUCGGCAAAAUGAAAUUUUAACAUUCUAUGAUUAAAUCAAACUGAUCACUAAUAACCACUUACAUUCUUCUUACAUACACUGAGCACUGAGAGACCAUGAGAAUUAUGGCAAAUAUAUAUAUCGAAACCCUAACCUACAGAACUCAAAUUACAUGAAAAUCAUCAUAUACAAAGUCUCUUUACCUGCUCACAUGUGGGCCUUGCAUCAGCAUCUUUCUGCAAGCAAUCAUUGACGAACGAGCAGAACUCUGAUGAAUAAGCAUCUUGUGGUGGAGUUGGUGAUGGAUCAUCCAGUAUCUGAAUUACAACACAUCAAAUUAAAAAAGCAGACAACGAAGUGCAAAUAACCAUUCAAAGAUAAUUAUAAAGUGGUUCACAACAUCAUAUGACAAAUUGAACUAUGAUGCUAUCAUUAAAGCAAACAGCAGCAAAGCAGCGAACGAGCAGCUAAGGUCACUUGCUGUUGUUGCAUUGCGCUAGCUGUACUUAUUUCUAAGUUGCUAUAUAGAAGUAAUAUUUAAGGCGCUGUAGACAGUGAUCAUUGACUAUACUGUUCAAUGAUUUAUACAUUGAAAAUUCAUGGGCAAGUGGGGAACCCAACAUCCAUGCAUUCAACUAGCUGUUAGCAGUAACCUUGUGUGUACGAGUAGAUGUUCAUAUUCAGUGAAGCUUCUAGGUGCAGAAUAUUUCGUGUUAGCGGAUUUUCCACUGGUAGUUAGGGAGAAUAGGCAAUAUUAGUUAUAAAUGCCUGUAGUUACUAGGAGGCACCAGCGGAGCUACAUGGGGGCCAAAGUGGGCCACGGCCCCCCCUUGGUCAAAACAAUUUUUCACGCUUCUACAUGAAAGCUGGAGACCCGCAACGUGAUGGCCUAGUAAAUUGGCUAACGAUUAGGAAAAACAGGUCCACCGUAAGGCAUCAUGCAGUUCUUUUGCAAUGCAGUCACCCUACGGCCGGCCACCAGCGCGUGUGGCCAUAUGCAUCCCUGGCUCGCCGCUUCGCCGGCCGUCGCUGCUCCGUGCUGGCUUCGCGCUCUCAGCCUGCCACACCUCCCAAUCGAAUCCACAUUUCCUAGUGUAGGCAGAUUGUUAUGAGCUUCAUUUGUAAUUUUGUUCCUUGCUUCUAGAUCUCAUGAGCAAGAUGCAUCGUUAGCCAUAUUAGAAAGCAACUUCCAGCUCUUGCAUACUUGAAGUUAGGUCCUGCAACUCAAACUGAAGAAUGUAAGGCUUCUAGGCCGAGCAUCAGUGCCAUUUUCAAUUCAAUUAGUUUUUCCUUCUUGGUUUGAGUGUUCAGAGAGCGGCCACCAUGCAUAUUAUUGUCUUCUUUGUGAUUUUGAUGUCGUCACAAAUCAAAGAACAAGGUUUUGAGUGAUGGAAUAAAGUUCAUAUUAGGCAAAUUGCACCCCCCCCCCUACGUUUCAUUCCUACCUCCGCCACUGCUAGGAGGCUAUCUCAGCCAUAACUGUAGCUCUAUCUCUGCUAUACAUAGAAGAAAACAGAAUAGGCUGCAAGUCAUCCGGCAGCACCAAAACCACUGUGUCCUAGUGUUAUUGUGUGAGUUACUGGGCAGACCUUACAGCAGUAAGGGCUGUCACCAGUUAAUUAUAAGGAAAAAGAAAAGAAUCAUAAAAAAACUAACAUAACCCAGGGACUUGUACAAACGGGUCAUUUCUCCCAUACCAGCAUAUCUUACAUCCCAAACAUCAAUCAAGAAUAAUUGUAGGUCUUUAGUAAAAAACAAACUGACUAGGCAACCAAGAACCAACUCACCUGCAGCAUGAGAUUGGCUGGGCCUUCAUUUACGUCAUAUGGGAAUUUUCCAGUAGCACAUUCCAAUAUUGUUAGUCCAAGACUCCAAAUAUCAGCAGCAUAAGAAUAGUUCUCAUUACGAAUUCUCUCAGGUGACAUAUAUGUGACCGUGCCUACAAAGGUAGCGCACUGGAACAUAUUUAUUUAGCAGGAAAAUAUAUUUCUGAUUCAAUCUAUACAAUUUCAUGUUCAAUACUAUUCAGAAAAGAAUUAUCAUACAUUAAGCAACACUAGAAGAACAUAGUGAUGACUUUCACCAAGUAGUAGCAUACCAUAGCCAUUGUGUUGUCCAAACCAGCACUCACACCAAAGUCUGUAAUCUUCGCCUCACCCUUAAGAUUUACCAGCAAAUUUGCUGGCUUUAUAUCUCUAUGCACUAGAUGCCUUACUUCAUGCAAGUAUCGCAGACCCUUCAGAAUUAUACACAGAAGAAUGUACCAAGUCAAUAUUUACAGAAAAUCACAGCUUGAUUUUUACUAAUGCUAGCAUAGAAAUUAAAAUAGAUGUGGAAGAUCCAUACAAGCAAUACUUUCUGUAGCAUAUGUGAAAGAACUGGUUCUGGUAUAGAUUUCUUGACCCUUAUAACAUCUGCCAAGGAACCACCAUCCAUGUAUUCAAGAGCAAUGCUUAUUUCUCCAGAAUCAGGCAUGUAAAAUGCUCCCUGGAACUCAACUAAACCAGGAUAACAACACGGUUCACAUAAUGUUCUCAUCUCAUUCAGAAUUUGUUGCCUCUUCUCCUGCAAAGAUAUCAAGAAAUUGAGAAACAUAAAAUCUGGGAAAAGCAAUGGCUUAAGUUUACCAAGUGAAACUGUAGAAUGAGUGAAUGACUAUGAAUUAGAUAGGUAGUGACAACAACAUAUAAUGCCUGGAUUACUAUAUGUAAUAAUAAACAUGCUUCACUGCAAUGGUAUUCAAAUUGAAUUUAGAAUAGAAGGGAGCACGUUUAUCCUUUGACAUGUCUGCUUAAUUGCUCUCAUUAUGCAAUAAAACUGAGCCAACUACUAUGCUCUCACUGCAACAACAGAAUCCUACUGCACUCCAUUAAGUGAGUGUUGUGGAAAUCAGUGUAAACGGAAAUUAAGUCGUCUGGUUAAAAACGGAUGCAGUGACCAUCCCAUCACACAUACAUGACUUAGAUUCCAAUUAGUGAUCGUGAAUGCAAAACUGGUCAGCUUGCUGAUUAACCAUCAGAUUCACAUUUAGUCGGCUGUAUAAUCAUGUUUUUUUCGUGAGCAUGAUUACGUUUUUCUAGCAGUACUCUGACCACAAGUUACAGCCCAUUGGCCCAUCUAUGUAAAUAGCCCAUCACAUUCACGUCCUAGUAUACUUAAGAGAUUUUUGGGCAACAUGAACUUGAAGAAAGACGAUCCAGCAAAGAACAAAGACCCAUACGUGUGAGAGAGUGAUGCUUCUAAUGCAAAAGAUUGGCUUCAAGGUGAAUCUGCAUGUCCAUGAAAUGAGCUAAGCUAGUUAGAAACUUGGACCUAACUUGAUAGUAGUAUAAAUUACUUUGUUUUAACAGUGGUAUGCAAUUUCAUAUCAUCGGAAAAGAAUAUCAUCAAAUAUGUACAUAUAGAACCAUGAAAUGCCAAAUCUCUGCAUAACUCCAAUCACUAUUCUGUUUUCCAAUUAAUCACGUGUAUACCCUUUGCAUGCAACAACCAAAUGGCAUUGUCCACAAUGCAGCAUAGAAUGCAAAGAAAAUACAAGUCUUGGCAUUUUCACCUCCAAUACGGUUUGCUCCAGCUUUUAAAACAGCAAGAACAUUUAACUGCAUUGCAUGGUGGACAAAGAAAAAGAGAGAUGCACUACAGUGUGAAAAGUAUGAUCCGUGACACAACUAAAUAGGUAAUUAGGAAUAUAGGGCUCAGUUUAAAUUAAUUUUCCACUGGGAAAAAGUAAAAAUUUAAUUCAUGUCCAAAGAUGAAUGUAGAAAUUGGUUAGAAAAGGUAGGAUUUAGAGUUUUAGGCUAGACAUCUUGAAUUAUACUGUAGAGGGAACAAUGAAUAUGGCCAUUGCACAGCUCUUGCAAUCAACUAGAGACGCAUAACCUGAGAAAGUCUAGCUUCGCACAAGCUCCCAAGAGUGUAUGGUUUUUCAUUGCAAAGAAAUACUAUAAACUAUGAUUAAGGAAUUGGGGGUGAAAUGUGAAAAGAGAACAACAACAUGAUCAUUAUUUGCAUCUUUGACCAUAAGGAAUAAAGAUACAAACCUUCUCGAAUAUGUUUAUCUUCUUCAAGGCCAAAAUUCGAUGAACUGGAAUAAAUAUAGCUCUCUCCACAACACUACUUGCACCAUUACCAAUGGGACCAAAUAUGUGCAUCUCAUGAGAGGCGCAACGGUAUGCCUUCUCAUCAGAAUCCAACUCGUCUGGCCCAGAACUUCGUUUAUGAAAGCCAUGCUCAUUGAUGUUAUACUCACCCAAGGAUCUACUAAGUAAAUUAACAGUUCCACCAUCAGAAACCUACACAAAAAAAGAUCUAUAUCAAAAUUCCUAUGCAUGAAAUAGUGUUCAGAAUAUAUGCUUAAGAGUUUAAGAAGUAAACAUGAUAUACACAAGUUUGAAUAAAACUGAUUGUCACAAAUUAUCCUAACCAUCCACAAUUCAUGUGCAAUAUCCUUUCCUACUUUUGUAUUCAGUUGCAAAGAUGUUGCAGUGUAUUACUGGGGAAGGUUUUCCUUUUUUAUAGAAGUCCAUUUUACUACGCAAAGUCGCAAAAAAUCCACUUUGUCUGCUUAACCGGCUGAACAAAAUUUGAGCUCAAUUUCCUCUCCCAAACUAUUCCAAUUGGCCCAAUCCACCACCUAAUGAGAUUUAUCCUUUUUUUUCUCCGAGCACGAGUUAAGUUUUAAGUUCAAAUUUUGUGGGAUGACCAAGGACAAAUGUUAGAAAAAUACAUAAAGAAUUUUCAGGAUUACUUUAAUGCAACUUUGUAUCUCUGAGAUUAAAUAAGUAUUAGAUGCUCCUAAACUUUGUAUCUGAUCAUCAAAAGUUCUAAAUGCAUUUUUCUAACAUAGGGCAUCAUGUCUUCUCUUAGCCCAAAAAAAAAUUUAACUUGUACAUGGGGAAACAAAAAGACAAUACCAUUGGGGUUAGCUUGGACCAAUUGAAAUCAUUUGAAGUAGUUGAGCCCAAAUUUUGCAGGGUCAAACAAACAAAGUGGCGUGUUCAUAAAAGUAACACGAACUUUUUCCUUUUUCUCAGCUUGGGUUUUAAUUUAAAAAUCAGUGAACAACAGUUAGAUUGUUAUAAGGCAUUUCAUGUGAAACCAUAAGCAGUUCAAGGCUAGGGUGCUGUCGAGGACAGAGCUACAUUGGAAAAACGUCAAGGAUCAAAAGGUUAGAAAAGGGGGCAAGAUUGCAACAGCUUACAAAAUUAGAAAACACAGAGAUCACAAAGAGCAUUCUUUUAAACAAAUAGCUUUAAAAGAUAUAUGUUCUAAGAUUCAAAUUCAUGCAAAUCUCCACUAUUAAGUCUUGUAAUAAAUGAUUUACCAAUCUCUUGUGCCAUUAUCACACACAAGAAUCGUAUUUAAUAAGUAAUAAAAAACACAUGGAAACGUGGAUUCAUUUGCACCAUGCGCAGUAUGAUCAUUCUUAUGUGCCUCAGUAUGGUUACUGUGAUCUAGUAGGGAAAACAGAGUAAUUGAGAGGCACAACUCGUGCACAGUGCAUCACAAACAUCAAAGAAAGUAAGGCAGUUUAACUGCAAAAUUAAUAGCCAGCUGAUCUAUAUUUAGCUUAUCAGGCAACAAGGCUACUCAGGAUGUGAAGAUUUCACAGAUCAAGAAUAAACAUAGAAUACCAGGGUGUGCUUACUACGUAGGAAUUGCAAGUAUCUUCCGGAAGGGGCACCCUGGUACUGACACCACCUCUGUCCGGGUCAUCGAACAGCAAGGGUUGCAGCUUCUUCUUCAGCUCCUCCAGCCCAGCCAUCAGAGCGUGCUGAGAUCAGGGGCAGAUACCCUGCAGCCGGGUUGCAAUACCGUGAAUAAAAUUCAGAGCAUGUGCCUUGUGAAAAAUCUAACAAUAGCCAACAAUUAGCGAACCGAACAGAAAGAUUUUACUGCCCACGGCUGAAUUCAGGGGAAAUGAGCACAUUAAAGGUUUGGGCUUACCCAAGAAUGGAGAAGCACAGCCACGCAGGCCCGUAUGGCCAGAUGGGGAUCUCGAGCAGAGAGUGGGGGUAGGAGAAGGGCUGAGGCAGCCCCGACUCUCCACAACCUGCGGUCUCGAUGGAGUAUACGGUUGGUAGAGAAGCUGUUGACGACUCGACGCGGGCAGCGGUGGCCGGGAAAGCUGCGGCGUCGGCGUGCGGCGAGGGGAGGCGACGGAUUGUAAGAGCAGCUGGAGCAGGACGGUGCGCACGGGAACAGCACGGGAUCCAGGUGAUGAAGCCUGAGGAUGCAGCCGGCUGCGGCGGUGGCGACAGCCAACGAGGGGAUGAGUGGGGCGGCGUGGGACCCCGGGCGGAGGUCUCCGGGAAGCCGCCGCCGUGCUCUCCUCCUCUUCUCGCGCGGAAUCCCGGGCGGAGGAACUCGGGGCAGUGGUUCCCGGGCGGAGGAACUCGAGGGCGGGGGCGCUGGAUCGCGGGCGGAGGAGCUCGUGGGCAGCAAGG